rnacentral:ncRNA from 1 species
CGCAGGGGAGCUGGUGUAAGCCGGCUGAGAUUGAGCGUGAUCGCUCUAAACCCAUGAACCUGAUCCGGGUAAUGCCGGCGUAGGAAGCAAUAGAG